CAACAAGCCAUUGAUCGGUACGGGUUGUGAGAGCAAGAGCCCGGAGAUGGAUUCUGAGACACGAAUCCAGGCCCUACGGGGUGCAGCAGGCGCGAAAACUUUACAAUGCGAGAAAUCGUGAUAAGGGAACCCCGAGUGCCCGUAAAUUCGGGCUGUCCGCCAGUGUAAAUAACUGGUGAAGAAAGGGCCGGGCAAGACCGGUGCCAGCCGCCGCGGUAAUACCGGCGGCUCGAGUGGUGGCCACUAUUACUGGGCUUAAAGCGUCCGUAGCUGGAUUGUUAAGUCUCUUGGGAAAUCCACCGGCUCAACCGAUGGGCGUUCAGGAGAAACUGGCAAUCUAGGGACCGGGAGAGGUGAGAGGUACUCCAGGGGUAGGAGUGAAAUCCUGUAAUCCUUGGGGGACCACCUGUGGCGAAGGCGUCUCACUAGAACGGCUCCGACAGUGAGGGACGAAAGCUGGGGGAGCAAACCGGAUUAGAUACCCGGGUAGUCCCAGCUGUAAACGAUGCGCGUUAGGUGUAUCGGUGACCACGAGUCAUCGAGGUGCCGAAGGGAAACCGUGAAACGU
rnacentral:rRNA from 1 species